UACGGGGGGGGCAAGCGUUGUUCGGAAUUACUGGGCGUAAAGGGCUCGUAGGCGGCCAACUAAGUCGGAUGUGAAAUCCCCAGGCUUGACCUGGGAACUGCAUCCGAUACUGGAUGGCUUGAAUCCGGGAGAGGGAUGCAGAAUUCCAGGUGUAGCGGUGAAAUGCGUAGAUAUCUGGAGGAAUACCGGUGGCGAAGGCGGCAUCCUGGACCGGCAUUGACGCUGAGUGAGCGAAAGCCAGGGGAGCAAACGGG
rnacentral:rRNA from 1 species